ACUGCAAGUCUUGAGUGUUGUUGAAGUAGCUGGAAUAAGUAGUGUAGCGGUGAAAUGCAUAGAUAUUACUUAGAACACCAAUUGCGAAGGCAGGUUACUAAGCAACAACUGACGCUGAUGGACGAAAGCGUGGGGAGCGAACAGGAUUAGAUACCCUGGUAGUCCACGCCGUAAACGAUGCUAACUCGUUUUUGGGCUUUCGGGUUCAGAGACUAAGCGAAAGUGAUAAGUUAGCCACCUGGGGAGUACGAACGCAAGUUUGAAACUCAAAGGAAUUGACGGGGGCCCGCACAAGCGGUGGAUUAUGUGGUUUAAUUCGAUGAUACGCGAGGAACCUUACCAAGGCUUAAAUGGGAAAUGACAGGUUUAGAAAUAGACUUUUCUUCGGACAUUUUUCAAGGUGCUGCAUGGUUGUCGUCAGCUCGUGCCGUGAGGUGUUAGGUUAAGUCCUGCAACGAGCGCAACCCCUGUCACUAGUUGCCAUCAUUAAGUUGGGGACUCUAGUGAGACUGCCUACGCAAGUAGAGAGGAAGGUGGGGAUGACGUCAAAUCAUCACGGCCCUUACGCCUUGGGCCACACACGUAAUACAAUGGCCGGUACAGAGGGCAGCUACACAGCGAUGUGAUGCAAAUCUCGAAAGCCGGUCUCAGUUCGGAUUGGAGUCUGCAACUCGACUCUAUGAAGCUGGAAUCGCUAGUAAUCGCGCAUCAGCCAUGGCGCGGUGAAUACGUUCCCGG
rnacentral:rRNA from 1 species